rnacentral:lncRNA from 1 species
CCUGUGAUAUCCUCAGCUUGGAAUGGUUCUGGAUCGUCCUGCACGUACUCUCCUGACUCCACGUAAUCGGUCUCCGCUCCCGGUGCUACCCAACACAAGAAUGACAGCCAAUGAACAGCAGCACCACAAAAUGCAACAAUCACAUGAUGCAUGAGAUGAAAGUUGAGCAUGCACCACUAUUUCUAACACUAGCACAAGCAAGAUAAACUACAACGAGUUCCUGGACAGAACUUUGCUCUAAACUAUUUGGACAUGCAUGGAAAUGAUAUGGACAGAUGCAUCUCGUAAAAACGGUGCAAAACCAUAUAAAGAACUUUGCAAACGGAGCUACGGAUCAACGGGAACCAACGAAACACGAUAUGAAGCCCUACGUGAAAGAUUCAUCACCACACACACAAUUGGCGCAAAUCUGGUGUUCCCAGGUUGCCAAGACAUGUAUUAACCCAACAUGAAUGAAAUGGAGCAAGGUAGAACACCCCAACAACAAUUAAACACAAACUUUGAACAAAAUGUCAAAACUACGCAAUCUGCCAAUUUCUGCAUCUUAGCUGUUUGAGAGCAACAUGCAACAUAGCUACAGGUCUUCAAACAUGACAAAUAAUAUAUGUGGAUGUUGCCAACCAAGAACACUACCAUCUCCAGCAAGAAUCACAGCAAAAGGAAUUAAACUCUAGAAGAUACAAGGCCACAAACUUUCCCAAAACCAUCAGUUCUCAGGGACUUAGUGAAAAUUUCUGCACCUGGGUUUCUGUUUCUGUUCUGAAGCCUUUUGACAGCAAUCAAAACACAAGCUACUGGACUCCAAAUGACUUGAAAAUUGACAGGAAGCUGCACAAACAUACCAGGUUC